rnacentral:snRNA from 1 species
GUGUUAUAUGAAGGGAGAGGCUAGCCCUCCCCUUUAGAAGGAUGGAAGAGAUCCUAGUGGCCUUUACAACACAUGCUCUCUCAUUC